CCAAUGACCCCAUAACCACCCCCAUGACCCCGUGGCCACCCCACAGCCCCCAUACGUACCGGUUGACCUUCAUCCGGACGGGUUUGGGGCGCGGGGGGGGGUCGGGGGCGGCGGCGAUGUCCUCGAUGAGGCGCCGGGUGACCCGGAAACGGGGCAGGAAGGAAUCGGCCUCGUAACGGGAAACGCGGCCCUCCAGGGCCAGCAGGUCAAAUAGGGCCAUGUCCACGUGCUGGGGGGGGGCAAAGGGGGCAGUGGGUCAGUUGUGGGGCUGGAGGAGCUGAAAGCCUACAGUUGUGGGGCUGGAGGAGCUGAAAGCCUACAGUUGUGGGGCUGGAGGAGCUCAAAUCCCGUGGUUGUGGGGCGGGAGGAGCUCAGAUGUGGGGCUGGAGGUCCUCAAAUCUCAUGGUUGUGGGGCUGGAGGAGCUGAAAGCCUACAGUUGUGGGGCUGGAGGAGCUCAAAUCCCGUGGUUGUGGGGCUGGAGGAGCUCAGAUGUGGGGCUGGAGGAGCUGAAAGCCCACAGUUGUGGGGUUGGAGGAGCUCAGAUUGAGGGUUAAGGGGCAGGAGGAGCUCAGAUGUGGGGCUGGAGGAGCCCAAAUCCCAUGGAUGUGGGGCUGGAGGAGCUCAGUUGUGGGGCUGGAGGAGCUGAAAGCCCACAGUUGUGGGGCUGGAGGAGCUCAAAUCCCAUGGAUGUGGGGCUGGAAGAGCUCAGAUUGAGGGGUUAGGGGGAAGGAGGAGCUCAGAUGUGGGGCAGGAGGAGCUCAGAUGUGGGGCUGGAGGAGCCCAAAUCCCAUGGAUGUGGGGCUGGAGGAGCUCANNNNNNNNNNNNNNNNNNNNNNNNNNNNNNNNNNNNNNNNNNNNNNNNNNNUGGAGGACCUGAAAGCCCACGGUUGUGGGGCUGGAGGACCUCAAACCCUGUGGAUGUGGGGCUGGAGGAGCUGAAAGCCCAUGGAUGUGGGGCUGGAGGAGUUCAGUUGUGGGGCUGGAGGACCUGAAAGCCCACGGUUGUGGGGCUGGAGGAGCUCAAAUCCCAUGGAUGUGGGGCUGGAGGAGCUCAGAUGUGGGGCUGGAGGAGCUCAGAUGUGGGGCUGGAGGACCUCAAACCCCGUGGUUGUGGGGCUGGAGGACCUGAAAGCCCGUGGUUGUGGCUNNNNNNNNNNNNNNNNACCCCAAAUUGGCCCAUUUUCACCCCAUAUGGGGCAAAUUUCACCCCAUACGAGACCCCUUUCACCCCAAAUCGGACCAUUUUCACCCCAUAUGAGUCAAAUUUCACCCCAUGAGACCCCUUUCACCCCAUAUGAGACCCCUUUCACCCCAAAUGUCCCCAUUUUCCCCAAAAUGUUCCACUUUCACCCCAAAUGUCCCCAUUUUUCCCCAAAAUUGGACCAAUUUCACCCCAUAUGAGACCCCUUUCACCCCAAAUCGGACCCCUUUCACUC
rnacentral:lncRNA from 1 species